CCUACGGGUGGCAGCAGUAGGGAAUAUUGCUCAAUGGGGGAAACCCUGAAGCAGCAACGCCGCGUGGAGGAUGAAUGUUUUCUGAUUGUAAACUCCUUUUUUUAGAGAAGAUAAUUACGGUAUCUAACGAAUAAGCACCGGCUAACUCGGUGCCAGCAGCCGCGGUAAUAAGGAGGGUGCAAGCGUUACUCGGAAUCACUGGGCGUAAAGAGCGCGUAGGCGGGAUAGCAAGUCCGAUGUGAAAUCCUAUGGCUGAACCAUAGAACUGCAUUUGAAACUGAUGUUCUAGAGUGUGGGAGAGGUAGGCGGAAUUCGUGGUGUAGGGGUAAAAUGCGUAGAGAUCAAGAGGAAUACUCAUUGCGAAGGCGGCAUACUAGAACCCGACUGACGCUGAUGCGCGAAAGCGUGGGGAGCGAACAGGAUUAGAUACCCGUGUAGUC
rnacentral:rRNA from 1 species